rnacentral:rRNA from 1 species
GACGAACGCUGGCGGCGUGCUUAACACAUGCAAGUCGAACGGAAAGGCCCUGCUUGCAGGGUACUCGAGUGGCGAACGGGUGAGUAACACGUGGGUGAUCUGCCCUGCACUUCGGGAUAAGCCUGGGAAACUGGGUCUAAUACCGGAUAGGAGCCAUUUUUAGUGUGAUGGUUGGAAAGUUUUUUCGGUGUAGGAUGAGCUCGCGGCCUAUCAGCUUGUUGGUGGGGUAAUAGCCUACCAAGGCGGCGACGGGUAGCCGGCCUGAGAGGGUGGACGGCCACAUUGGGACUGAGAUACGGCCCAGACUCCUACGGGAGGCAGCAGUGGGGAAUAUUGCACAAUGGGCGCAAGCCUGAUGCAGCGACGCCGCGUGGGGGAUGACGGCCUUCGGGUUGUAAACUCCUUUCGCUAGGGACGAAGCUUUUUGUGACGGUACCUAGAGAAGAAGCACCGGCUAACUACGUG